rnacentral:rRNA from 1 species
CCCUAUGGGGUGCAGCAGGCGAUAAACUUCGGGUUCAAAUAUGCCUGGAUUGUACAGGCAAAGGUGAAAGAGCGUUUUUAAUCGUGGAGGUGUUAUGCAGCUGAGGGGAAAAUUCUUUCAUCUGGAUGAGAACUGCCAGAUUUUCAAGCAUAUGAAAGAGGGCGAGGCCUGUUUUUAUAAGACACCCUGCGACGCGAUCUGCAAGUUAGCCGACGGAACGGCGGAAUACAAAAAAAUGCGGAAAGAGAUGGAUUUCCGCAUUUUCCCAGAUGCCUGGGCGAAGAGAGAGAAAGAGAUUCUGAUUCAGGUAAUUCAGAUCAUCGCGCAACUGGAGCAGAAAGGUAACCUUCUGGAUGCCAAAAGAUUAAAGGCGGCCUAUGGGUUCGAUGUCAACAAGAGAAUAAGUGCAAGCAUAAGCCAGGGAGCAGCAGGUGGCGGGGGGGC